rnacentral:rRNA from 1 species
AUUGAACGCUGGCGGCAGGCCUAACACAUGCAAGUCGAGCGAGCGGCGGACGGGUGAGUAAUGCCUGGGAAUUGCACAGUCGCGGGGGAUAACAGUUGGAAACGACAGCUAAUACCGCAUACGAUUGGAUUGCCACUGUGGGAUUAUCUAGUUGGUGAGGUAAUGGCUCACAAAGGCGAAGAUCCCUAGCUGGUCUGAGAGUAUGGUCAGACACACUGGAACGGAGACACGGUCCAGACUCCUACGGGAGUCAGCAGUGGGGAAGAUUUCACAAGGGUGGAAACCCGGAUGAAUCCUUGCCGCUUUGGGGAAGAAGGCCUUCGUGUUGUAUAGCACUUUCAGCGAGGAGGCGUUACUCGCAGAAGAAUCACCGGCUAACUCCGUGCCAGCAGCCGCGGUAAUAC